GGAAACACAACUCCCUACCAGAUGCUUGCUGAUGGCUUUGCAUUUCUCACCAAAUGGCUGAGCACCCUGGUGUGUCAUCAGAAAAGAGACUGAUCUGCUUUGACAAUGUAGAGAGCUGAAGGGCCUCACUGAAAGAGGAUGGCAUGUUAGAGCAUCAGCAAGCAACUCUAAUAUUGGAUUUUCCCCACUUCCCACCACUGUCUUCAAUCAGAAGUCAGGAAACACCCAACUCCUAAAAAUGAAGUCUUCUCAACAUCUUCGCAUGCUGGUGAGACUUAUUUCCAUGCACAACCAACAGAAGUGACUGUGUGUCAUGGGAUAGCUUCCAUCGGACUCCAGCAUACCAAAAUGAGAACACAAGUGGAAGAAAAUAUUUCAUUUUAUCUUUGGAAACAAGAGAAGACAGCAAUCAUGCAAACCUCUUUCAAGAAUAUAGGUGCUAUUCUAUAAGGUACCACAAGUAUUGAAAUCAGC
rnacentral:lncRNA from 11 species